rnacentral:lncRNA from 1 species
GUUGUUUCAUUAUUAUUCCUUAUUAUAUUGUAUUUUUUUUUCUCUUUUUUCUUUUUAUUUCUAAUUUUUGUUUGAAGUAUGUAUUACAUGCAUUACUACUAUGUUGUGUUUUUUUUUUCGCCAUUAUCUAAUGUACUUUGUGUUUAUAUUUAUAUUGGGAGAGGACGUCUCUAAUGUUGUUAUAACUUGUGUCCAAUCCCUUUUGCUACUUUUGCAAGUAAAAUAUGUUUAAACUAAAAGGUUAUGCAUAUUGUUGUCAGUUAUAAAUAGAUAUACAAGUUGAAAUGAUAGGACUUUUUUUUUACUGGGAACUCACUUUAGU